ACUACUACUCUGCCUGGAAAACCCUAGCAGUAAGGUUCUUUUUACAUUAAUCUCGUAUCUCAGCUAAAAUCUCAGUUUAUUUUGCAAAAUAAUUAAUGAAAUGCUGGCCAAAUUACUAAUUUUAGUGGCCAGUUUCGUUGGAAAAGCAGCAGUCUCCAAUAGUGGUGAGGAUUGGAUCCAAUCGACAGCUCAUUCAGCCUUACCAUUGAAGUCAGUAUUUGGUGGUUACGAGGCGGACCACUCUCCCCUUUUUGUUGGGCGAGCCCAUCACGAGGGCGGUCUACUGCCGGCGAAAGUUAGUCCAAUCAAAGGAUUCGCCUACGUGGCCAACAACGGAGAGGAGCACAGAAUAUCCAACUAUGAGGUCCUUGUGGGUGAAGGAUAUUGCUGGGUUCCCGAUCAUUAUGGUCACCUGCCAGCCAAUGCAGUGGGCACUGGAGCAAACAAAUACGGAGAAACCAUGUUUAUAGGACGGAGUAAAUACAAGGACAGCCUGCUCAUAGGAAGGAUUCAUCAAUCCCAUGGAUGCAUUUAUGUCCCUUUCGAGGACAAGGAAAUAAAAUUAAACGAGUACGAAGUCCUAGUCCACAACUGAGUAGGACUGUAUUUUUAAUUGAUUUUUUUAAUUGAAUUAAAAGUUCUUAGUUCUAUCUCUUUAAACUCUAAGCUUCUCUAUAGCGUCUAUUAAUUAAGGGAUUAUUUAGUUUUCUCUUCAGUUACCGAUUCAACGAUGAAAUUAAAUAAAAUCAUAUAUCAAAUAUAAUACUGCGAAUCAACUUCACACAUAAUAUGAAUUAAAAUGUAAACACAGCCAGUAGUAAUCUAAAAUAAAUCAAACUUAUCUAUCCCAAGUGCCUUCUUCAACAUUUUGCGUUAUAAAAACUUGGACUUGGGUAUAAAAAGAAGCGCAUCGAAGUGCGGUAGUCAUAUUGAUAUAUUUUUAAUUGAAAAGCACUUGCACCUUUAGAAAAAAUCAAAGCUCAUUGAAGAAUAUUUUUAAAAUGUUAGUCAAAAUACUGAUUCUCUUAGCUUGUUUUGGUGGAAUUGCAUUCGGAGCAGUCUCCCCUGAUGUCGACGUCUGGAUCCACACCACAUCACAGUCAGCCUUACCGUUAAAGGCGGUCUAUGGCGGAUACGAUUGGGACGGCUCUCCUCUGUACGUUGGACGUGCUUACCAUAAGGGUAGCCUAAUAGCUGCAAAAGUUAGUCCAAGCAGAGGGGCGGCCUUUGUAUCCUACUAUGGUAAGGAGCACAUAAAGUCUAACUAUGACGUCCUUGUGGGUGAAGGAUAUCACUGGGUCGCCGAUAAUUAUGGUCACGUGCCGGCCAAGGCAGUGAGCAGUGGAAAAGGCUCAAGCGGAGAAACCCUGUACAUCGGUCGUGCAAAACACAAGAACAGCCUGGUCGUAGGCAAGAUUCAUCAAUCACAUGGAUGCCUUUAUAUUCCAUAUGCGGGAAAGGAAAUAUCGAUCAAGAACUACGAAGUCCUAGUCCGCUAUUAGAAGCUUGGGAGUACUGUAUUCUUAUAAAAUUAUUUUGAAUAAAAUUAAAAAAAUAAAAUAUAA